UACGAAGGGGGCUAGCGUUGCUCGGAAUCACUGGGCGUAAAGCGCACGUAGGCGGAUUGCUAAGUCAGGGGUGAAAUCCUGGAGCUCAACUCCAGAACUGCCUUUGAUACUGGCGAUCUCGAGUCCGGGAGAGGUGAGUGGAAUUCCGAGUGUAGAGGUGAAAUUCGUAGAUAUUCGGAAGAACACCAGUGGCGAAGGCGGCUCACUGGACCGGUAUUGACGCUGAGGUGCGAAAGCGUGGGGAGCAAACAGG
rnacentral:rRNA from 1 species